UACGGGGGGGGCAAGCGUUGUUCGGAAUUACUGGGCGUAAAGGGCGCGUAGGCGGUUUGCUAAGUUGGAUGUGAAAACUCUGGGCUUAACUCAGAGCCUGCAUCCAAAACUGGCAAACUUGAGUACUGGAGGGGAAAGCGGAAUUCCUGGUGUAGCGGUGAAAUGCGUAGAUAUCAGAAGGAACACCGGUGGCGAAGGCGGUUCUCUGGGAAUGUUCUGACGCUGAGGAGCGAAAGUGUGGGGAGCGAACAGG
rnacentral:rRNA from 1 species